rnacentral:rRNA from 1 species
GAUAAACGCUGGCGGUGUACAUAAGACAUGCAAGUCGAACGGGAGAAGACAGGAAGAUUUAUCUACUUGUUGGACACCGUGGCGGACGGGUGAGUAACACGUAAGCAACCUGCCUAUAAGAGGGGAAUAACAGUGAGAAAUUACUGAUAAUACCGCAUAAGCUGGAGGUAUCGCAUGAUACAUUCAGAAAAGAUUUAUCGCUUAUAGAUGGGCUUGCGUCUGAUUAGCUAGUUGGUGAGAUAACAGCUCACCAAGGCGACGAUCAGUAGCCGGAUUGAGAGGUUGAACGGCCACAUUGGGACUGAGACACGGCCCAGACUCCUACGGGAGGCAGCAGUCGGGAAUAUUGCACAAUGGAGGAAACUCUGAUGCAGUGACACCGCGUAUAGGAAGAAGGUCUUAGGAUUGUAAGCUAUUGUC